rnacentral:lncRNA from 1 species
UCCAGGGGAUCUAAUACCUUCACACCAAUGCACAUAAAGAAAAUUAAAUAAAUUAUUUAAAAAUAAAUAAAUAAAUAGUUGCUAUUAAUUAUUAAAUUUGUUUCCUAUGAUCUCAGCAGAAGGUGCUGUGUUAGUGUGUAAGCCCUGGUCCCCAAGAACACAGCCAUCUCCCCUGACUGCGGAGGAAUUUAGGCACGUGGGGCUCACAGCAGCUGUCCUCUCCGCACACACACAGAAGGAAGAACAGAACUACGUUGACAGGUUCCGGGAGAGGAUCCUAACCUCACCCUACAGUUGUUACCUUCAGCAGGAGAGCAGAAACAACGCUAAGUGCUCUUCUGUUCAAGGCCCUCAGUCUGUUCCGGCUUUCCCUUCUGCCUACUUGGACACAUUCACGACCAUCUUCCUACACAACUCCCCCAUCUUUCCUCUGUGGUCAGCGUCAUUCCCCUCGUAUCCAUUCCUGGGGGCCACAGCUUCUUCUGGAAUGACACCCUUAGUACCAGCAAUGGCUCCACACCUGGAACCAACUUCUUCAGACCACAGCCAAAGGAGAGUGGGGGAAAGCUGGGAGACACACGGUGAAGAGCAUCCAUUUAUCAGCUCAAGGAGCAGUUCGCCAUUACAGUUAAAUUUACUCCAGGAAGAGAUGCCUGCACCGUCUGAAUCUCCAGAUCCAGUGAGAAAGGGCAUUGGCCCAGAGUCUGAGUGUGUAAGUGUCAGUACAUGAGUGAGUGAGAAAAUCUGGGUCCUCUUACCAAGUCAAAGGCCCAACGCUGACGGCUUCAUCACUAGUGGGUGACCCCCCUCACAGCUGUGGUUAGGACUAAGCCCCGCUCUGUGUAAGUGAGAAUGUGUCCCUGUCCACCUGUGGGACAGAAAUGAGAGUCUUCUGUUCUUGAUUCUUGGGGAAGGUUUUCACAAAUUCUGUAUUGCAGAAUUUUUAUGUGUACUAGGUUUCCUCUACCUUUUAAUUUUUGAUAUCCAGGUAUUAAACUUAAUAUGUUCAUUCUUGUCUGGCCUCUUGGGAUACUCGGUCACCUAUACACAACCCAGGAGACAGAUUUUCAUUUACUUUCAGUGAGGGCUGGGACU